UACGUAGGGGGCAAGCGUUGUCCGGAUUCAUUGGGCGUAAAGAGCGUGUAGGCGGCCAGGUAGGUCGGUUGUGAAAACUGGAGGCUCAACCUUCAGACGUCGACCGAAACCAUCUGGCUAGAGUCCGGGAGAGGAGAGUGGAAUUCCUGGUGUAGCGGUGAAAUGCGCAGAUAUCAGGAGGAACACCGAUGGCGAAGGCAGGUCUCUGGGCCGAUACUGACGCUGAGGAGCGAAAGCGUGGGGAGCGAACAGG
rnacentral:rRNA from 1 species